rnacentral:lncRNA from 1 species
AUGAUUUAUAGGUCUGAUUGCUGCCAAGUCCCCCUCACACUGUCCUGCUUCAGCAUCCCGACUUUCCAGGACUGGGCGUUGUCUAAAGAAGUCCUCCAGGACCCCACGUCUUCUCUGGGUCUUCUCUGCUGUGCUUACACUGCAUCCUUCAUUAUCCUGGUACCAAGAUGGCUGCUCCCACUCCGAGCAUCGUUUCUGCCUUCCGGUAGGGAGGAAGGAGAGAAAGUCAAAGGCAAAAAGAUGGGAUGCUCAUUUAUCAAAGGAGAAAAAUGUUUCCACCCCCUGUCAGCAGAAACUAAUUGUCAACAUAUUUAAGGUAUUGGAUGCAUCAAAUGAAAUACUGUUAUUGGUCUCAGACAGUUUCAUUGCCAUUAGGUGUUCUCUGCAUAUUAUUCAGUGACUUAUGUUUCCUGUGGCAUUGCCAAAUGAUCCUUCCAUUUGAUAAAAUGUAUUAAAUUUUAUAUUCUUAUUGAAUAAAAUCUAAUUGCUUUCGUUUCA